rnacentral:rRNA from 1 species
GUGUCAGCAGCCGCGGUAAGACGAACCGUGCGAACGUUGUUCGGAAUCACUGGGCUUAAAGGGCGCGUAGGCGGGUGUCCAAGUCAGGGGUGAAAUCCUCCAGCUUAACUGGAGAACUGCCUGUGAUACUGGACGUCUGGAGUGAGGUAGGGGCAUGUGGAACUUCCGGUGGAGCGGUGAAAUGCGUAGAUAUCGGAAGGAACACCGGUGGCGAAGGCGGCAUGCUGGACCUCAACUGACGCUGAGGCGCGAAAGCCAGGGGAGCAAACGGGAUUAGAUACCCCAGUAGUCC